CAAUACGAGCGGCAGACGGGUGAGUAACGCGUGGGAAUCUACCCAUCUCUACGGAACAACUCCGGGAAACUGGAGCUAAUACCGUAUACGUCCUUUUGGAGAAAGAUUAUCGGAGAUGGAUGAGCCCGCGUUGGAUUAGCUAGUUGGUGGGGUAAUGGCCUACCAAGGCGACGAUCCAUAGCUGGUCUGAGAGGAUGAUCAGCCACACUGGGACUGAGACACGGCCCAGACUCCUACGGGAGGCAGCAGGC
rnacentral:rRNA from 1 species